rnacentral:rRNA from 1 species
AUUGAACGCUGGCGGCAGGCCUAACACAUGCAAGUCGAGCGAGCGGAGGACGGGUGAGUAAGGUAUGGGGACUGCCCGAUAGAGGGGGAUAACUAAUGGAAACGGUAGCUAAUACCGCAUACUAUCGGAUAACCCAUAUGGGAUUAGCUAGUAGUGGAGGUAAUGGCUCAACUAGGCGACGAUCCAUAGCUGGGCUGAGAGGAGGAUCAGCCAAUGUGGGACUGAGACACGGCCCAGACUCCUACGGAGGCAGCAGGGGGGAAUAUUGCACAAUGGGCGCAAGCCUGAUGCAGCCAUGCCGCGUGUAUGAAGAAGGCCCUAGGGUUGUAAAGUACUUUCAGUCGGGAGGCGUUACCGACAGAAGAAGCACCGGCUAACUCCGUGCCAGCAGCCGCGGUAAUAC